rnacentral:tRNA from 1 species
GCCCCAGUGGCCAAGCGGUUACGGCAUCUGUCUUGUAUAGGGCACUUUUCCAGUGUCUAAGCUCUUGAAACAGAAGAUCACUCGUUCAAAUCGGGUCUGGGGCA